rnacentral:rRNA from 1 species
AGAUUGAACGCUGGCGGCAGGCCUAACACAUGCAAGUCGAACGGUAACAGGAAGCAGCUUGCUGCUUUGCUGACGAGUGGCGGACGGGUGAGUAAUGUCUGGGAAACUGCCUGAUGGAGGGGGAUAACUACUGGAAACGGUAGCUAAUACCGCAUAACGUCGCAAGACCAAAGAGGGGGACCUUCGGGCCUCUUGCCAUCGGAUGUGCCCAGAUGGGAUUAGCUAGUAGGUGGGGUAACGGCUCACCUAGGCGACGAUCCCUAGCUGGUCUGAGAGGAUGACCAGCCACACUGGAACUGAGACACGGUCCAGACUCCUACGGGAGGCAGCAGUGGGGAAUAUUGCACAAUGGGCGCAAGCCUGAUGCAGCCAUGCCGCGUGUAUGAAGAAGGCCUUCGGGUUGUAAAGUACUUUCAGCGGGGAGGAAGGCGAUAAGGUUAAUAACCUUGUCGAUUGACGUUACCCGCAGAAGAAGCACCGGCUAACUCCGUGCCAGCAGCCGCGGUAAUACGGAGGGUGCAAGCGUUAAUCGGAAUUACUGGGCGUAAAGCGCACGCAGGCGGUCUGUCAAGUCGGAUGUGAAAUCCCCGGGCUCAACCUGGGAACUGCAUUCGAAACUGGCAGGCUAGAGUCUUGUAGAGGGGGUAGAAUUCCAGGUGUAGCGGUGAAAUGCGU